rnacentral:rRNA from 1 species
UACGAAGGGGGCUAGCGUUGUUCGGAAUCACUGGGCGUAAAGGGCGCGUAGGCGGCUUUAUAAGUCGGGGGUGAAAGCCUGUGGCUCAACCCCGGAACUGCAUCCGAUACUGCGUGGCUAGAGGUAGGUAGGGGAGAUCGGAAUUCCUGGUGUAGCGGUGAAAUGCGCAGAUAUCAGGAGGAACACCGGUGGCGAAGGCGGAUCUCUGGGCCUUACCUGACGCUCAGGCACGAAAGCUAGGGGAGCGAACAGG